rnacentral:tRNA from 1 species
GCCGGAGUAGCUCAGUUGGUAGAGCGGCGUCCUUGUAAGACGCGGGCCGUCGGUUCGAGUCCGACCUCCGGCU